rnacentral:rRNA from 1 species
ACGUAGGGUGCGAGCGUUAAUCGGAAUUACUGGGCGUAAAGCGUGCGCAGGCGGUUCGUUGUGUCUGAUGUGAAAGCCCCGGGCUCAACCUGGGAACGGCAUUGGAAACUGGCGGACUGGAGUGCGGCAGAGGGGGGUGGAAUUCCGCGUGUAGCAGUGAAAUGCGUAGAGAUGCGGAGGAACACCGAUGGCGAAGGCAGCCCCCUGGGCCGACACUGACGCUCAGGCACGAAAGCGUGGGGAGCAAACAG